rnacentral:rRNA from 1 species
AAUCAACGCUGGCGGCGUGCCUCAGACAUGCAAGUCGAACGCGAAAUUUCCCUUCGGGGAGAAAGUAGAGUGGCGCACGGGUGAGUAACACGUAGGUAAUCUACCUUCGGAUGGGGAAUAACAGUCGGAAACGGCUGCUAAUACCGCAUAAUGCAGCGGCACCUAAUGGUGACAGUUGUUAAAGCGGGGGAUCGAAAGACCUCGCGUCUGAAGAGGAGCCUGCGGCGGAUUAGCUAGUUGGUAAGGUAAUGGCUUACCAAGGCUACGAUCCGUAACCGGCCUGAGAGGGCGGUCGGUCACACUGACACUGACAUACGGGUCAGACUCCUACGGGAGGCAGCAGUCGGGAAUUUUGGCAAUGGGCGAAAGCCUGACCCAGCAACGCCGCGUGAAGGAUGAAUACCCUCGGGAUGUAAACUUCGCAAGAAUGAGAAGAAUAAGUAGGGG